rnacentral:rRNA from 1 species
CGUAGGGUGCGAGCGUUAAUCGGAAUUACUGGGCAUAAAGGGUGCGCAGGCGGCGUCGCAAGUCAGGCGUGAAAUCCCCGGGCUUAACCUGGGAAUGGCGCUUGAAACUACGAUGCUGGAGUAUGGCAGAGGGAGGUGGAAUUCCACGUGUAGCGGUGAAAUGCGUAGAGAUGUGGAGGAACACCGAUGGCGAAGGCAGCCUCCUGGGCCAAUACUGACGCUCAUGCACGAAAGCGUGGGGAGCAAACAGGAUUAGAUACCCUGGUAGUCCACGCCCUAAACGAUGAUGACUAGUUGUUGGAGGAGUUAAAUCCUUUAGUAACGCAGCUAACGCGCGAAGUCAUCCGCCUGGGGAGUACGGUCGCAAGAUUG